AGCAGGGAUGGCCAACUCAUGUUGUACAAAGCAGCUGCUUUUCAAUGUACUGACUGGAGAACACCAGAGUCUAUGGAAAGAAAGGAAUGCAACGCAGGGGAAAGGGACCCUCCGGAUGCUGGCACAUGGGAGAAGCCACCCCCCAAUGUAUAAUAAAUGAAUGUUGGAGUAAAUCUCUUCAUUAACAAAAGAAGGGAAUUUAGCUCCAUACUAAUCAUUCACCUCUUCAGCCACAAAUGCCCCAAAGAUUCCACUUCCUGAACAUCCUCUCUAAUGGGGCAGACCUUUGCUGACCAGCUGAGCACAAGGAUGACUUUAGCAGGUGGACUCUGUGAAGCAAGCAGCCCAAUGCAAACACGCAGCAACACUGCCUGGAAGCUGGUAGGUGGCCUUGGCUGGUGAAAGCCCAUCCUUCAAGCAACUGAGGCAGGAGCCCAUUAAAGGUGUUAAUUUUACAUGAUGUGGCACGGCAAGUUUAUAAAUAAAUAACAAAUGAACAUUCCCCACGGUUCCUCUCCUCUGAGUUUCUGUGUACCUGCUGCAAGCAUGGCAACAGCAGGAGACGCUCAGAUGCCAGAUCCAGAACUGCCUUUCAAAAAAUGAGAAAACAGGCAUUUCUGUCACGAGGAGUUGAUAAUGUUUGACACCUUUGUCAUGGGAUCCAGCCACCAUGAAAAUAAAAACCACCACUGAUCCCUCCUCUGUGGUGGGAUGGGCUCAAUUUAAGAUUAUCAUCAUAAGCUGCAAGAACAAAACACAGAUGUUGGAGUUUCAGAAAAAUGUACUGUUGGGGACCAUUAGUAAAAAAUACUGUUUAAAAUAUAUAACAUAUGUAACUAUUAAAUACAUAAAAAUCCCAUGUACCAAGAGGCAAAACAUGAUGAAAGUUGUUGAAUAUUUUAAGUACCUAUAUUGCUGCAUAAAAUGGUUCUGUGCAGUAGAAUUUUCUAUUGCAAGAGAUUUAUGAAAUUUUGUCAAAGUGGUAGAUCAUGCUGAAGUCAGGGGAAAUACCAGCACACUUUAAGUUGCUUUCUAUUUUUAAUUAAGUUUGAAAAUGCAUCUUUGCACUUGUGAGUGUGCAUAUAAAUAUAUGAAAGUGUAGAUGUGAUUAACAAUAAUGCUGAUCUAUGCAGGCAUUCAAAUUCACUCACAAAAUGACCCCCUCCCACUGCAGAGAACAUUAGUUAAUUGAAGCUGGGUCUGCUAUAUUACAAUGAACUACAUGUAGAAUAUAAAAAUUUGACCAGUGUAGUUCACACUUGCUGAUUUUAACGGCCUAGGAGGAAAGAACUCAAUAAGCCAUUUAGAAACCUGACCUGGAUUUCCAAUUUAGACAUGAACCAUGAAUACUAAAGGCCAUGAGACUUGUCAUGUUUAUCCAUGUCAGUAAACAGGGAGAGUGACUGAGUUUGAGUAAUUCGCUUAAGUCCAUCUAACCCAAGGAACUAACAAGGGAACUCGAGAAUUAACUGGAGCCCAAGUUAUUCAAGGUCCAAAAUACCAAGAAAGUGUUCAUGAUGGCAGCCAAUGGCAAAAAAAAAAAAAAAAAAAAAAAAAACAACA